UCUUCCCUCUGGCUUCGUGCCUAAUACAUGCAAGUCGAGCGAACAGAUGAGGAGCUUGCUCCUCUGACGUUAGCGGCGGACGGGUGAGUAACACGUGGAUAACCUACCUAUAAGACUGGGAUAACUUCGGGAAACCGGAGCUAAUACCGGAUAAUAUAUUGAACCGCAUGGUUCAAUAGUGAAAGACGGUUUUGCUGUCACUUAUAGAUGGAUCCGCGCUGCAUUAGCUAGUUGGUAAGGUAACGGCUUACCAAGGCAACGAUGCGUAGCCGACCUGAGAGGGUGAUCGGCCACACUGGAACUGAGACACGGUCCAGACUCCUACGGGAGGCAGCAGUAGGGAAUCUUCCGCAAUGGGCGAAAGCCUGACGGAGCAACGCCGCGUGAGUGAUGAAGGUCUUCGGAUCGUAAAACUCUGUUAUUAGGGAAGAACAAAUGUGUAAGUAACUAUGCACGUCUUGACGGUACCUAAUCAGAAAGCCACGGCUAACUACGUG
rnacentral:rRNA from 1 species